rnacentral:rRNA from 1 species
GGGUAAGAGAUGGGCAUGCGUUCUAUUAGUUAGUUGGAGUGGUAACGGCACACCAAGGCGACGAUCCGUAGCUGGUCUGAGAGGAUGAUCACGCCACACUGGGACUGAGACACCGGCCCAGACUCCUACGGGAGGCAGCAGUGGGAAUAUUGGACAAUGGGGAAACCCUGAUCCAGCCAUGCCGCGUGUGUGAAGAAGGCCUUCGGGUUGUAAAGCUCUGUGGAGAGGGACGAAAACCCUGGUUUCCAAAUAGGCUCCAGGCUUGACGGUACCUCUUUAGCAAGCACCGGCUAACUCUGUG